rnacentral:rRNA from 1 species
AGUGAACGCUGGCGGUAGGCCUAACACAUGCAAGUCGAACGGCAGCACAGUAAGAGCUUGCUCUUACGGGUGGCGAGUGGCGGACGGGUGAGGAAUACAUCGGAAUCUACUUUUUCGUGGGGGAUAACGUAGGGAAACUUACGCUAAUACCGCAUACGACCUACGGGUGAAAGCAGGGGAUCUUCGGACCUUGCGCGAUUGAAUGAGCCGAUGUCGGAUUAGCUAGUUGGCGGGGUAAAGGCCCACCAAGGCGACGAUCCGUAGCUGGUCUGAGAGGAUGAUCAGCCACACUGGAACUGAGACACGGUCCAUACUCCUACGGGAGGCAGCAGUGGGGAAUAUUGGACAAUGGGCGCAAGCCUGAUCCAGCCAUACCGCGUGGGUGAAGAAGGCCUUCGGGUUGUAAAGCCCUUUUGUUGGGAAAGAAAAGCAGCAGGUUAAUACCCCGCCGUUCUGACGGUACCCAAAGAAUAAGCACCGGCUAACUUCGUG